rnacentral:rRNA from 1 species
GGGGGAAUAUUGCACAAUGGAGGAAACUCUGAUGCAGCGACGCCGCGUGAACGAAGAAGGCUUUCGAGUCGUAAAGUUCUUUUAUAUGGGAAGAUAAUGACGGUACCAUAAGAAAAAGCCCCGGCUAACUACGUGCCAGCAGCCGCGGUAAUACGUAGGGGGCUAGCGUUGACCGGAAUCACUGGGCGUAAAGGGUUCGCAGGCGGAAAUGCAAGUCAGGUGUAAAAGGCAGUAGCUUAACUACUGUAAGCAUUUGAAACUGCAUAUCUUGAGAAGAGUAGAGGUAAGUGGAAUUUUUAGUGUAGCGGUGAAAUGCGUAGAUAUUAAAAAGAAUACCGGUGGCGAAGGCGGCUUACUGGGCUCAUUCUGACGCUGAGGAACGAAAGCGUGGGUAGCAAACAGG